GUACCCGCCGGACCCCCGCUGGCGCCUAGCGGCCCUGCGCCGCCCCUGUGCGACCGCCCAGCCCCGCUGCGCCCGCGACCUUCACCCCGCGCCGCGCCCCCCGCGCCGAGUGCCAAGCGCGCAGUAAUCUAAUCUCUGCCGGCGGGCAGGGCCCCCGCGUCUCGGCAUGGGCACCCAGGGGGUCCGGGCCCCAGAGAGGGUGGCGGGUCCCGAGAGCCGGAAGGAGAGUGGCUGGGGGCGCGGCUCCGGCAGAGCCCGGCCACCUCGCGGCCUGCACCUCCCCCGCAUCUGAGAUGGUGCGGCGAUAGGGCGGCCUCGAUCUGGGCUCAGAUAAAGUUUAAAAUAUUCCAUUCUGCAAGUCCCAUCCUGAUAAGAUCGCUCUGUCGGGACGGGCUGAAAUUGUGAUCUUAUCUGGCGCGCUUGACUCUCCCAGGCUUUGUAUCUAGAGGCAGAAGGAGAAAGACCUGGGAGUGAGGGGGACUUGGGACUGCGGGGACCGGCCGGCGCCCACCGCAGCGCUUUGGCUGCAGAGCGACAAGGCAGCGGGAUAGGGCGCGGGGCUUCCUCUCUGGAGCUUCCCUUUGGCGAGAGAGCGACAGGUCAUCUGGGCUGCCCAGGAGGUGACGGGAGGGGGGCUGGGCAUCCGGCUUUCCAGCUCCAGUCGCCUGAGCUACCUCCUCUGCCCACUUGACACUGCUACCAGGACCCAAUGUGCAUUUUAAGCUUGUGAGAGUACCCCCUACCACUGAAGUCUCGAGGGGGGAGAGGAAGGGACGCAGGGAGGAAUCUGGGUUCUGGUAACCCGAUUCUCUAAAUGCGAGCUGGACCUGUUUUCCGAAAGUCUCCUUCUAUCAUGUCAACUGAAGUAUUAAAGCCACCCACAGGUCCCGAUCUGUGCUGGUUCUCUGGUUUCUUUUUCCCCUCCUCGCCUGUGCGCCUCUGCUGGGUUCUGUUCUCGCGUGUAUGUGUGUGUGCGUGAGCGUGUGUGUGUUUCAGUUUGAUGAGAAAUGCAGAUAGCUAGGGCAGGGAGAUCUCAGGUUGGGAACGGAUCGCCAGCACUGAUAAGCCCGCGGAAGCCCAGCAGAGCCCAACCCACUUGGGUCAGCGAAACCCCGCACUCCGAGAUCCAGGACGGAGACUGUGCAGGAGAGCCCCUCCGAUCCCCUCACAGUGCCCCACGACUCAAGCAGAAGAGGAGAGUAGGCCUGGGGGGCGGGGCCCCAAGCCCUCUGUGCAACUCGUGGCCCGGGCCCCUCCUCCUCUAGCAGAUCUAAACGCGUUAAGAUGCGAACGUUGAUUGUCACCAGGCAAAGGCGCCUGCCCGCCUGCUCUCUGCCCAAGGCCGUGCGUGAGGCCCUCACAGCUGCGCGCCUGCUGCCUUGGCCUCACCUGUGGCGGGUCUCAGGGUGCGGAGGGGAAGCAGGCUGAGCUCUAGGGGCCGACGCCCUCCACGCCCCCACCAAAGCCGGGUUGCAGCUGCCCGCGCCUCUGUGCGCCUUUUGUUCUGCGCAAAGAUAGAUGUGCCUUGCUGAUAAGGCUUGCAACCGAUGGCAGCCGCGAUAGCGCUUCCAUUUAUUAACUUCAAACGUGGGAGAGGGGGGAGGGCGAGGCAGGAGCGCGGCCUUAGCCAGCCAGAUGGCUGACAUGAUAGGCUAGGCCCCUGGAGGGGGCGAGGGGCAGGGUGCAGCUCGGGACCCUCAGUGCCCCGGCCCACCAGCUUUUCCUCCUGCCCAGUCGAUGUAAGCUCUGAUAAGUAGGGGCCUAAGCGUGGGCCAGUCCGCCCAAUGGCGAUUGCCAAGAGAGAUAAGAGGCCUUAUCUACGGCCACCAGACCCCGCUGGGUUCGAGGCAACAGCAGUGUGGGGGCGUCCGGCGGCAGCAGGGGGCCAGGGCAGCAAACGAGGGAACAACGUGGGGGGAGGGGGCGUCCAUCUGGGACACUUUCCCCAAACAUACUUAAUUGGCAAGAAGUUGAUCUUCCCCCUGCGGCCAGUGGUACAGUCCAUCAAAAUGAAAGAAAACUGACUUCGUGCUGCCCGAGAGGAGGGGAGAGAGUGAGCGGACACUCCACCCCUCAUUCCAACUAGGUGGCACUCAGAGGCUAGGGGCGGUUUGUCACCUGCGAAUGGUGGUUUCCCCUGAAUCAUGCUGGGUUGCUCUUGGUUCCUGGCAAGUCUUUGAGGUGUGACCCGUGUGGAGUUAUUGAAGAAAAACUCGAGGUGGUUUCCACCAACCUGGCUGCUUUUUGGGAAGUCCAGGAGGUGCCUGUCGGAAGAGAUCUGUAUAGAUCUGCCUUGAGCAGACACGCAGUUAUUGAGAGCUUGUUGUGUGCUAUGUGCAGUGGAGUGUUUAUUGUGCUCCUGCUGUAUGCAGUUCUCUACUUAUUAAGUACCUGCUGUAUGCAAGCACUCACUCAGUUCUAUCCACAGUAUGAGCAAAGGAGCGGAGCCAGAAGGCACAAGCAGGCCAGUCAGGGUCGCUGAUCAGCAGCUAGCCUCUAGACUGUCAAGAAAAGGCCAGCCACGGGUGCACUUCCUAUGAUAGUAACCUGGCCUGAGUUUUCUGCUUUGGAAACGUGGGCUUUUGGGGAUUGUGACCAAGCUGAAAGACGAGAUGCUGGUGAGAGCCAAAUCUGGAAGGGUCUGACAUGCAGGGCUGGCCUCAGUUUCCCUCUUUGAAAUAAGAUCAGCUGAGAUAAGCAUUCAGGGCUACAGGAAGGCCCCAGGUCAGGCAGGGGUUAUCGAUCCCAGAUGCUAAAUUUGGACACAGACACAGAUUUGGAGGAGGAGUCUAGACUCACUGCAUCCCACCUGGUGCAGCCGCCCUUGCCUCUGAGGAGAUGUUUUCACACAUUCUUAUAGUUCAGUUAAGCAAAUUAGUGGUAGCCACAGGAUGACUAAUUCACUCCAAGGCCCAGAAGCCAUCUGCCAGCUUCUUCUAAUACCUAACAGCCACCCACAGGGCCGGUGGUACUGACAGCAGGGGACAGCCCCAUUCCCCCAGGAGAGCCGGGGUGAAGCCCCCCCAUAAGCAGCCUGAUAGUUUUUUAGCUAUAUUUUAUGGACAUAGGAGGGACAAUUUACAGAGAGCAGUCCCCACUCCCCUUUGUAAGUAUGGGAGGUCCCUCAAGGUCCUUGUCUUCCCUUCCUGACAGUGUCUGCCAUCCAGAACUUAGAGAGCAUGAGCAAUGGGCUAAGAACUGACUAUCCCAAUCCCUGGUCAUUAGCAUUGGCCUGGUACUUGAUGUUGUGGUCCGCUAGACUACCAGAGCGCAAGCAUGGUACUCUGUGCAGCGGGGCCCGAGGCACCCGUGGUGAACCCUCCCCUGACUCUGCAGCCCACUUGAAGUCCCCAGUGCUUGUUGGGCCUCUGGUCCCACCUACGUAGAUGGAUAUAGUACAGGCAAAGGCAGCAGUGUCCUGGUCAUGGAUAACAACCAAGUACCUACCCUGUACCAGGCCCAGUGUUCACAUCGUUGGCCCUCCCCAAAAGUAACCUGCAUCCCAGAAAGCAGUGGAGCCAGAGAUGGAAGUGUAACGUGGAUGCUGCCCUGGCUGUUGGGCCCAGGAACCCCGUCUAGGUGUCUCAUCAUGCUCUGGCUUCUGUCUGCUCUCAGUUAUAGUCCUCAAUUUUCACAUCUGUACAGUGGGCCUAUGGGAGGGCCGAGGGCCUCUGCCAUCCCUUCCCAGCCACCCUUAGCAUCCUAGUGCUGCUCUCUGAGAUGCUUCAACUCAAGGGCAGUGCCUGGGGAAGCCUUACCCAGCCCUACCCUGGCCUGAGCCUGGGACCCAGUCCCAAUGGCCCAGGCCCCUCCCCGGAGGUCACAGGAACCCAGUAUGGCACCGAUUUAAGUGGGUCAGUUGGGGAGAAAGGAGGAGGAAUGUGAUGCCAUUAAUUGUGCCCCUUAUCUCCUGUUUCUAUGCCAACCAGACGGUCCCGGGGCUUGACGGCUCGUGAAUAAUACUCCAGGCCGGCCUAUCUGCCAUCGACAGGCCUCACGGAGGCAGCUGUUGCCUCCUGAUUGGUAUCGAAAAACCUAUGAACCCAGCCCACAUGGAGCCGCCUGGCCAUACUCUGGCCCUGCUGGCUCCUGCCCACCUGCCUACCAUCCCUUUGAGGCCACCUGGAGGUACUUACGGUCCUUGUUCCCAUUUCACAGAUGGGGAAACUGAGGCCACACCCACACAUUACCUUGCAGACCCUCUUCUGGAUGAAGGCAUGGCAGAGUGAGGGGAAGCUACACCUUCAGAAAUCAUGUCAUACAUACCCUAUCCCCUCCCAUCUGUCAAGCAGUGUGACCUUAGUGCAAGCACCAUCCCUGUACGGUUUACAUGCUCACCAUGUGUCAUUAGGGCGUGCAUGGCCCUUCAGUUCAGAUAGAGGUAACCCAGUCAGGACUUGUGCUCCAGUAGAGACAUUGAGGGCUCUGUUCAGGCAUCUUCAGCCUCGGUGCUUUUACAGGGCUUCUCUGUCCCUCAUAUUCUGGGACAACUUUGCUGACACCCAGUGCCUCUGGUUUCUGAGGAGAGCCUGACUCAGCCAUGUCCCACUCUUUGGGACCACCAGAGCCAGAUAAGUGGCCUCCUUUGCCAUAGGGAGCAUGGAAAGGUGUGUUGUGAGAACAGGAACCGUGCUUCCCCACCCGCAGUGUGGGGUGAUAGUGCCUGUCUCCUGAAGCAGCUGUUGCCCCUUCCCUGCCACCCUUUCCUCCUCUUAACAACCAGGUCGAGCUUCUCUGAGAUGGGAUAUCCUGUCCCAAGCUCUUUCCUGUGAGGUCUCAGCAUGUCACAUACAGGGGCUCUGUUCUUGACCCAAAGAUGUGGGGUAAAUGUGAGGUCCUGAUACUGUCCCUGCUCCUGGCUAGCCUCUCCCUGCAUAUUCACACUGACUUGCUAAGAGAGCCCCUGGACUGUGUAACCAUGGUGUGUUUGUUGCUCGCCUCCUGUGGGCCUCCUUUAGACACCUCUGCCCACUUCUCCUGUCUGCUCUGUAGUGCUGUGGAUCCAGGCAGCCAAGUGGAGCCCCUUAGGUCUCCCAGGUUAGUGCCCAUUCUACACCAUGGAGCCAGUAGGCUAGUGAAAGAGAGAGGGCUUGGGCAGAAUAGGAGCAUGGGACAUGGGCAGAAGACCAAGGAGCUGUCCGUGGCAUAUAGAGUUGCCUGAGUGGAGCCCUCUGUGUCUCAGCUGGAGCACAGGCCCUCAGU